rnacentral:rRNA from 1 species
UCGCCUGUUUUUCAAAAACAUAGUUUUAUGAAAAAAUAUAAAAUUCAACCUGCCCAGUGUAAUUAUAAAUGGCCGCAGUACCUUGACUGUGCUAAGGUAGCAUAAUCAAUUGGCUUUUAAUUAAAGUCUGGAAUGAAAGGGAAAAUGAAAAAUAACUGUCUUAAAUAUACUAUAUAAAAUUUAUUUAUUAGGUGCAAAUACCUGUAUUUUGAAUAAAGACGAGAAGACCCUAUGAGUUUUAAUUAAUAUAAUCACUAAAUUAUUUAUUUUUUUGUUGGGGCGACAUGUUAACAUUUUGAACUUAACUUAUAAUGUAUUUAGCGUAAUUGUAAAAUGAAUUUAAACUACCUUAGGGAUAACAGCAUAAUUUAUGUUUAAGUUUGUGACCUCGAUGUUGGACUAGGAACUAUAUGGCUAACCGUUAAAUUAGAUUUGUUCUGUUCGAACAAUAUUAUCCUACGUGAUCUGAUUCCAAACCGGA